rnacentral:rRNA from 1 species
UACUGCUAUCGGUGUUCGACUAAGCCAUGCUAGUUAAAUGUUCUUCGUGAACAUAGCGGACUGCUCAGUAACACGUGGACAAUCUGCCCUUGGGUUCAGCAUAACCCCGGGAAACUGGGGAUAAUUCUGAAUAGAUCACAUACGCUGGAAUGCUUUGUGAUUAAAAGAUCCGUCGCCCAAGGAUGGGUCUGCGGCCUAUCAGGUUGUAGUGGGUCUAGAGUACCUACUAGCCAACGACGGGUACGGGUUGUGAGAGCAAGAGCCCGGAGAUGGAUUCUGAGACAUUAAUCCAGGCCCUACGGGGCGCAGCAGGCGCGAAACCUUUACACUGCGGGAAACCGCGAUAAGGGGACACCGAGUGCCAGCAUACAAUGCUGGCUGUCCACAUGUGUAAAUAGCAUGUGAUAGCAAGGGCCGGGCAAGACCGGUGCCAGCCGCCGCGGUAACACCGGCGGCCCGAGUGGUAAUCACUAUUAUUGGGUCUAAAGGGUCCGUAGCCGGUUUAAUCAGUCUUCCGGGAAAUCUGACAGCUCAACUGUUAGGCUACCGGGGGAUACUGUUAGACUUGGGACCGGGAGAGGUAAGAGGUACUACAGGGGUAGGAGUGAAAUCUUGUAAUCCCUGUGGGACCACCAGUGGCGAAGGCGUCUUA